rnacentral:tRNA from 1 species
GAGGGGAUAGCUCAGUGGUAGAGCGCAUGCUUAGCAUGCACAAGGUCCUGGGUUCAAUCCCCGGUGCCUCCA